UCUCUUUUAGCUUAAACUCAAAGUGCCAGUUUGAAGAGCUGGAGAUAUUAAAAUUUAUAAAGGGAA
rnacentral:tRNA from 1 species